rnacentral:rRNA from 1 species
GACAGAGGGGGCAAGCGUUGCUCGGAAUCACUGGGCGUAAAGGGCGCGUAGGCGGGAUGGCAAGUCAGUCGUGAAAUCUCUCGGCUCAACCGAGAAACGUCGGCUGAUACUGCCGUUCUUGAGGGAUGCAGAGGAGACUGGGAUUCCCGGUGUAGCGGUGAAAUGUGUAGAGAUCGGGAGGAACACCGGUGGCGAAGGCGGGUCUCUGGGCAUUACCUGACGCUGAGGAGCGAAAGUGUGGGGAGCGAACAGG